rnacentral:lncRNA from 1 species
ACUCUCUGCCUGCCUAGGACGCAAGUGCAGGGUGCCAAGCGGAGAGCCUGGAUCAUAUUUCACAUGUGCCGGUCCCAAAGGAAUUCCUUAACUCUCCCUUCCUGGAACCGAAAUGCUUCCAAAGGCAGAGAGCUCCUAUAUAUAUUUCUCUGUUUUCCCCGGAGGACCGUGCAUGAAAGGCGCCUUUUUGGCGCGUGUGUCUCUGACCCUGUGGAUCUUCUGGACAAUUCCCGGAAUUUCUUGCAGGGCAGCACUUCCCCUUAAGUCGUCUCUUUCUCGUUUGGAUAGUCAGUAUUUGUAUAGUCACUAUUCUCUUUUGGUUAGCCGUCUAAUUUUAUACUGCCAGUCAAGCUCUACUCCCUUCCCCCUAGAGUUUGAAUUUAUUUUUUUUCAAACGCUACACAAACCCAAAUAAACUCAACCAAAGCGGACUUUACCUACCUUCCUACCUACCUACCAAGAAAAUAUCCCACAAAGGAGAGAACGGAGAAGCUUGCAAUACAGGAAGAAAAAAAAAGAAUUACAGAAUGGAAGGGAUGUGUGCUCUAAAAAUGCAGGUACUCAAAGGAAAUUGGGCUGAUUUGUACUGGACACCGAAUUUGAGGAAUACAGGAUCUCAACCUUUCUUUGACUGGAUUACUUUUUUAUUCCAUUUUGGUGUGGACGCGUCUGAAACUGAUAGUGCUGCUGCUACCUACCAUAAUGUGUUUGUUGCAAGAUCCACAAGAACGUGGAUGCCAAGAAUCCACAAAAAAAAACAGAUGCAACCGUUGAUGAGGCCAUAAACAGAAACAAAAUCUGAAGAGACAUGCCUGCCCACUCUUCACAGAGGGAUACAUCUUCUAAAUGUGGGGAACACUGUUCUUGAAGGUUCAUGAUAUAAUCCUGACUCACACUUAAAUCCCGGAUCCUUUGUUUCCAAAUCUUCCAGCAAUGAAGCUCUUCUUGAGAAAGCUACCUGGAAAUCUGAAGUUGGAAGAUUGCUUAAUCCUGGGACACAGAGGCUGCAGUGAUCCAAGAUUGUGUCACUGCAUUCCAGCCUGGGUGACAGAGCAAGACAUUUCCACCCCCACACAGCAAAAAAGAAUAAAAGGAAAUCUUAGGAAAAAUUUAUGAAGGAAGAAAUUCACCUCCCCCUUAUAAGAGUGGUCAAUAAAAAGACUUUAAUAAUCUUGCUACAAAAGGUAUGGGAAAGACUCCCAUUUUACGUAGUAUAUGUGUGUAUAGAAAUAAUACAUAUUGAUGGAGUGUUUUUUAUAUGUUGGGCAGAGUAAGGGACACAAGGGUCACAAGAGGUUUCAGAAACAAGCAAGUCCUAUCUCCUGAUGGCUUCCCUUCCUUCACAUCACUGUCAUAUGGAGGACUAUCAUGUAUGUUUGUGUACAACCUGCACAACUGUACAUGGUGAGCCUUAAGGGGAUGGGGAUAAAAAGGCAAUGGGGAUUGAAAUAGGGAUAAACAUUGUGAAACUUGGUCCUGGCGUUGUGCGGGGAUGCAUAUGUAAACCUCUGAGACAAGCUUUAAGAGACAUCCUUUUUAUUUUCCCCAAGAUUCUUUGUCUUCAUGAAAAGAUAGAGACCACUCAGAUACUAUAAUCCAUUUCCUUAAGUUCUGACCUUUUAAGUUAUUGCAGAAUCUCAAACAGCCAUGAAUGAGAAUGGGGAACAGAUACUGUGGCACUGUCAAUGGCCUGGCACCCAGGGAAGCAAGACUGUGGUAUAUAACAAACAGGGGGCUGAGGCAGAAGAGGAUGAUCAUAUUUUUGGGACCCUAAGAUGGGUUUCAAAAUGGCAUGAAUAUCAUGGUCAAGUCCCACUGGAUACUGCUUCUGGUUCAAGGUCCUUUCUGGGUUGUUUUAUUGAAAGUGACUUUAGUUUAUAAGAUAGUAUCAGGGAAAGGGAGACCAUGAGCUGCCCCAGAUGGGUUUUAAGCAGUGGUUUCCCAAUUGUUUUGAUUGUAACCCACAAUAAAAUCAGCAUUGUGACUCAGUAGGAAUAGGCACGGACAUCAACACAGACUGCUCACUAAAACAGAAGUUUUAUCAGCUGAUACUUACAUACGAUGUGCAAUGCAUUUUGAUAAAUUCUUCUGUUUUCUGCUCUAUUAAUCUAUUUUGCUUUUUAAAAAUUGCUAGUUAUGACACAGUAAUUUGAUUUCAGGACUCACCAAGAGGGUUUUAUCCUGCAGUUUGAGAAACAACUGCAGGGAUAUGCAGAUUUAUGUAGAAGGUCCUGUGUCUACAGAUUACACUUUGGUUUAACGAGGUUAUUUAUUAAAAGCACAGGACCUAGGGCCAGAUUAGGAAGGCUCAAAUCCUAGUUCUUCUUAUAAGCUGUGUAAUCAUGGGCAAGUUAUUAAUUCUGUGACUCAGUUGUUUCAUCCAUUGGUAUGGUUUGGCUGUGUCCCCACCCAAAUCUCUUCUUGAAUUGUAACUCCCAUAAUUCCCAAGUGUCAUGUCCCAUAAUUCCCACAUGUCACAGCCCCCACACAGAGUCCCUAGCAGGGCACUACCUAGUGGAGCUGUGAGAAGAGGGCCACUGUCCUUCAGACAGCAGAAUGCUAGAUCCGACAGCUUGCACCGUGUGCCUGGAAAAGCCACAAACACUCAACACCAGCCCACAAAAGCAGCCGGAAGGGAGACUAUACUCUGCAGAGCCACAGGGGUGGAGCUGCCCAAGACCAUGGAAACUCAUCUCUUACAUCAGCGUGACCAGGAUGCAAGACAUGGAGUCAAAGGAGAUCACUUUCGAGCUUUAAGAUUUGACUGCCCCGUUGGAUUUCAGACUUGCAUGGGGCCUGUAGCCCCUUUGUUUUGGCCAAUUUCUCCCAUUUGGAACAGCAGCAUUUACACAAUGCCUGUACCUGCACUGUAUCUAGGAAGUAAAUAAAUUGUUUUUUUAUUUUACAGGCUCAUAGAUGGAAGAUACUUGGCUUGUCUCAGAUGAGACACUGGACUGUGGACUUUUGAGUUAAUGCUGAAAUGAGUUAAGACUUUGUGGGACUGUUGGGAGGCAUGAUUGGUUUUGAAAUGUAAGGACAUAAGACUUGGGAGGGGCCGGGGUGGGAUAAUAUGGUUUGGCUGUGUCCCCACCCAAAUCUCAUCUUGAAUUGUAACUCCCACAAUUCCCAUGUGUCAUGGGAGGAACCCUGUAGGAGGCGAUUGAAUUAUGGGGCGGGUCUUUCCUGUGUUGUUCUCAUGAUAGUGAAUGAGUCUCAUGAGAUCUGAUAGUUUUUAAAAGGGAGAUUCUGAAUGGGUACAGUGGCUCACACCUGUAAUCCCAGCACUUUGGGAGGCCAAAGUGGGUUGAUCACGAGGUCAAGAGAUUGAGACAAUCCUGGCCAACAUGGUGAAACCCUGUCUGUACUAAAAAAUACAAAAAUUUGCUGGGCAUGGUGGUGCAUGCCUGUAGUCCCAGAUACUGGGUUGGCUAAGGCAGGAGAAUUGCCUGAACUUGGUAGUUGGAGGUUGCAGUGAGCCAAGAUAGCACCACUGUACUUUAGCCUGGCUACAGAGCCAGACUCUUAAAAAAAAAAAAAAAGGUGGGGGGGUUUCCUGCACAAGCUCUCUUCUCUUGUCUGCCACCAUGUAAGACGUGCCUUUCACCUUCCACCAUGACUAUGAGGCCUCCCCAGGGAUGUGGAACUGUAAGUCCAAUACAUCUCUAUCUUUUGUAAAUUGCCCAGUCUCAGGUAUGUCUUUAUCAGCAGUGUGAAAACAGAGUAAUACGUCCAUAAAAGGGGGAUAAUAACAAUAACUAUCUGUAUUAGUCCAUUCUCAUGUUUCUAAUAAAGACAUACCCAAGACUGGGUAAUUUAUAAAGGAAAGAGGUUUAAUUGACUCAUAUUUCCAUAUGGCUGUGGAGGCCUCAAAAUCAUGGCAGAAGGUGAAGGAAGAGCAAAGGUACAUCCUACAUGGUGUCAGUCAAAGAGAAAGCCUGUGCAGGAGAACACCAAUUUAUAAAACCAUCAAAUCUCAUGAGACUUGUCACUCUCAUAAGAACAGCAUGAGAAAGACCCCUGCCCCAUGAUUCAGUUACCUCCUACCGGGCCCCACCUACAACAUGUGGGAAUUAUGGAAACUACAAUUCAAGAUGAGACUUGGGUAGGGAUAUAGCCAAACCAUAUCUCUAUCUCAUAAACCUAGGUAGCACAUAACUGUAUAUGAACCUCUGAGAAAUGAAAAUGAGGUUAGAUAUUUAUCAAAAAGUAAUCAAAUAAGCCAACACUUAGAUUACACUUACUACAUACCAGUAAGUGUUGGCUAUUGUAACUGCCAACCAAAUCAAAGUUCUCCCUUUGUUCCUUUAACACUGAUUUAUCCAAAACAUUGGAUAAACAUUGAUUUUUCUCCAGAAGCAUCCAAUAGAUCAGGGCUCUUGGUGAUGUGUGAAUUUUAUGUCUCAUUCUGAGAAAUAUGAGGAAAGAAUGAGAGCCUAAAUGUGUGAUUAGGGGAGGGAGGGAUUACUGCCUGCAUUGAAUGCCCACAGGCCAGGGGUAUGAGAUUUGGGGAGAGCUCCCUCACAAAUCCAUCACAAGGGGCCAGAUCCUCACAUUGAUCUGUAAAAGCUCAUUAACUGCAGGGUUCUAACCUGCACAUGCAUCUCUUGGGUGUUUUCUUUCCAGUGGUCAAAGUUUAUCUUUGUGAUCUAACUGGAGUUUUCUAUGUGGUUUGAAAUGAUGAUUUCAGGACACAGGUCCAGUGGUCUGAUGCUCAGUUACUCACCCACUGAGAUGAAGUUCCUGAAGUUUUCCAGCAUCACGUCUUGGUACAGGUUUAUCUGGGCUUUAUCCAAUACUGCCAGCUCUUCCUUGGUGAAGAUAACAGCUAUGUCCUUGAAUGUCACCCUUUCCUAAAACAUCAACCACAUGCCACGUCAAUCAUCCACACAAAUGACUGGUCUUAGUCUGUUUGGGCUGCCUUAAUAAAAUACCACAGUCUGAUUAGGUUAAACAAAAUAAACUAACUUCUUACUUUUCUGGAGGUUGGAAAGUCUAAGAUCAAGUACCACCAAGAUAGGUUUCAUUCAGGUUUCUUCUCUUGGCUUGUAGACAGCUGUCCUCUCACUGUGUCCUUACAUGGCAGAGGGAGAAUGAGAGCAAGCUCUGUUGAGGCUGUCUCAUAAGGACAUUAAUCCUAUUGGAUCAGGGAUUCCCAAAGGACAAUAUUAAUCAAAUUAUAAAAUAUGGCCCAGGAAAUAGGCACAGAUAAAUCUAUACUAAGGUGUUGUGCUGAUACACAAGUCUAGUACUGUUCCAUGAGUUCAUUUCUCAUCACACACCAAGAUUUGGUAUUUUCACUUUUUCAUGGCAGAUUAAUCUAUUUGUAUCAUGUUAAAAGGAACUAAGAAGACAGGGUAACAAAAGCCUGACUCCCAGAUUCAAAAAACACAGUAGAGAAAAGGGAGAUUAUUAUCAUAAUUAAGAACACUUGGAUAUCAACUAGGUAUUAAAAAAUAGUGGUAUCAACGUGAAAUUUCUUGAGUAUGUUAGCAGUAACGUGGAAAUGUAGGAAAAUGCUCUUACUCUUAGGAGAUACAAGCUGAAAUAUUUAGGGAUGAAUUAUAAUCAUGCCUGCAAUAUAUCCCCAACUGGGUCAUCAAAAUAAAAUAUAGAUAUGUGUGUGUAUAUAUGUAUAUUAUGCAUAUGUUUAUGGGUGAUUGUUAACAAUUGGUGAAUCUAUGUGAAGAUUACACAUUAUGCUAUUCUUUCAUUUUCCUGAUAAAUUGAAAUUUCUCAAAAUAAAAUGAUGUGGGGAUUAAUCUCAUAUUAAUAACCAUCUCCUAAUCAAGAAAACAAUUUUUACAUAAAAUAUUUCUAUUGCUGCAUAUAUCACACUGCUCAGAGUUAAGUAUUUACAGAUAUGUUCUCUCAAUAGACUCUGCAUCUCUAAAUAAUGCAGAGCUUUCAAAUGAAAGUUGUAAGCAGUUACAAAGGACUUCACAAAGAAUAUGUUCCUAACAAUUGUCCAAUUACCAAAAUCUGACAAUGAUUAAAAACAAAAUCUAGGGGAGUCAGCACGGUUGUCCUAAUAGCAUCACUCUCUCAGUAACACUACUGUAUGCCUUCUUCUGUGGGAGGCAACAAAAUUGAAUUGGAGUUAAUCAUUCAGGAAAUACAGAUACCCUGAAGUCUGCUUGGGGUGUUCCAAUGUAGGGAGAAGGGGUUAGGAAUAGAGGUUCACCCAGCCUACACCCCAUUCUCCCUUCUCUGCCUCAACUAUAGAGCCUGGGAAAACAAAACACUCAUUUCUCCACCACCCUUGUAGCUGGAUGGAUGCCUUGUAGGAAUCCUAGGCAGCGAUUGUCAUAGGAUGCAGAUACAAGGACAGCCCCAAAAUAUUAAGAAACCAAAUUUUUCAACGAAUAAACACUUGCAAAAACCUAUAAAUAUUUUCCUCUCUGAAGUAUUCUUGUAUAACCAUCUAUGAAGUAUUCUUGUAAAACCUUGAACCUGAAUCUAUUCAAGCAUCUGGUGCUUCCACUUACAAGAAAUACUAUGGAUAGAGUAACACAUUGAAAGACACCAAAAGGAAGCAAACAAAUGCAUUCCAAAUGUAGGAAAGAACACAGGACACCAAACUUGGUUUCUACAAGUCAAUAGCAGGAGAGAAUAAAGUAGAGGGGCAGAUUUCUCUAGAUUAAAAGAGAUUAUGAGACACAACCACCAACUAUAUGAUAGUAUAGACCUUUGGUAAGAUCCCAUUUGAACAAACCAACUGUCAAAAAUUUUUUGAGAUAAUCAGGGAAACUUGGUUAUUGUCUGGGUAUUAGAUAAUACCAAAUAAUUAUUGAUUAUCUCAUUAGUCAGUUUUUAAGGAAAUAUAUACUGAAAUACAUAGAGAAUGUAGUAAAUUAGAUUGCUGUUUAGAAAUAUCCUCUUCCAUGCUCACCAAUCCCACUAAAGGACCAGAGUGUGUUUUCUUACCCCUUUAGUUUUGACUUGGCAAUGUAACUUUCUCUGGCUACCAAAAUGAAGCAGAAGUGAGAAUGUGCCAUUUCUAACCUGGGCCUUGACAGAUCUCACGUGUUCACUUGCUCUCUUGUCCCUCUGUCUUCACUAUGAGGACACACCCAAGCUAACCAAAACCAGCAGAGUGCUACCAAAUACUCAUGGUAUUGGCUUUAGGUCCAGGCCAUAACAAUUGAGGACACUGUUAUAGGAGGCUGGAAAAAUGGUGACCUGGGUGAUGUAGUGGUGAACACUUGGUAAAUUGUUGCUGUAAUUUGGAAGAUAGAAAAUGUACCUAAUGAAUCUUGGACUUGGGCAAGAUGGUUUCCAGGCAGAAGGAUAAAAGUGUGAGCUCAUUCAUUUUAGCUGCAUAUAUAAUAAGGUACUAUACAAAAGUGAUGUGCUCAGAGAAAAACCAAUACAGUGUAAAUACCAUGCCUCUUUCAAAUACUCUGGGAAAGAAAAAACUGAAAAAGAGAGUAAGCAAAUCCCUUCGGCAAUAAGUUAAUUGUUGAAACUGCAUGAUGGGUACUGCAAAUGGAGCCUCAUAAUACCAUUUGUUCUUUUUGUGUAUUUUCAUAAUUAAUUUUUUUCAUGAUUAAAA